rnacentral:rRNA from 2 species
UUUAGUGCUGAAGUUAACGCAUUAAGCACUCCGCCUGGCCAGUACGGCCGCAAGGCUGAACUCAAAGGAAUUGACGGGGGCCCGCACAAGCGGUGGAGCAUGUGGUUUAAUUCGAAGCAACGCGAAGAACCUUACCAGGUCUUGACAUCCUCUGAAAACCCUAGAGAUAGGGCUUCUCCUUCGGGAGCAGAGUGACAGGUGGUGCAUGGUUGUCGUCAGCUCGUGUCGUGAGAUGUUGGGUUAAGUCCCGCAACGAGCGCAACCCUUGAUCUUAGUUGCCAUCAUUAAGUUGGGCACUCUAAGGUGACUGCCGGUGACAAACCGGAGGAAGGUGGGGAUGACGUCAAAUCAUCAUGCCCCUUAUGACCUGGGCUACACACGUGCUACAAUGGACGGUACAAAGAGCUGCAAGACCGCGAGGUGGAGCUAAUCUCAUAAAACCGUUCUCAGUUCGGAUUGUACGCUGCAACUCGCCUACAUGAAGCUGGAAUCGCUAGUAAUCGCGGAUCAACAUGCCGCGGUGAAUACGUUCCCGGGAA